AUAACAUGGAGCUUGAAGAUGAUUAUUGCUUGAAUGAUUACAACAUUUCCGAAGGUUGUACCUUGAAGCUGGUAUUGGCUAUGCGUGGCGGACCAAUAAGUACUAGAAAAGUUCCUGUGGAAGACCCACUCAGGGAGCUUGCUGAGUACAUGGAUUCCAGUCGAGAUGAGGUCUGGGAAAAGACCUCUUGCAACAAACAAGUUACAUUUUUGGUAUACCGGGAAGGAGAUCAACUAAAUUUCUUUCGUGUAGUAGAUAGGGGAGAUGGCACUUUAACACCAUUAUCAGAAUCUUUAAGCCUAAGAAAGUUGUCAAGGUAAAACCUCGCCCACCCAUAGCUCCUCGGCCAUCCAGCAGUUCUGCAGCAGCAGCCC
rnacentral:lncRNA from 1 species